rnacentral:rRNA from 1 species
GACGAACGCUGGCGGCGUGCUUAACACAUGCAAGUCGAGCGGUAAGGCUCCUUCGGGAGUACACGAGCGGCGAACGGGUGAGUAACACGUGAGCAAUCUGCCCUUCACUCUGGGAUAACCCUCGGAAACGAGAGCUAAUACCGGAUACGAUCACUUCAGGCAUCUGAUGGUGAUGGAAAGUUCCGGCGGUGAAGGAUGAGCUCGCGGCCUAUCAGCUUGUUGGUGAGGUAAUGGCUCACCAAGGCUUCGACGGGUAGCCGGCCUGAGAGGGUGACCGGCCACACUGGGACUGAGACACGGCGCAGACUCCUACGGGAGGCAGCAGUGGGGAAUAUUGGACAAUGGGGGAAACCCUGAUCUAGCCAUGCCGCGUGAUCGAUGAAGGCCUUAGGGUUGUAAAGAUCUUUCAGUGGGGAAGAUAAUGACUGUACCCACAGAAGAAGCCCCGGCUAACUCCGUGCCAGCAGCCGCGGUAACAC